rnacentral:lncRNA from 1 species
UUUCACAGGAGCCAGGGAUGGUCCAUCAUGAGACCCGACUCCAGCUGAGACGUGUGGGUCCCAGAGCUGCCCUCACGGCCUCUCCUCCCGUCUGCUUCCAGAUCCCUGGGAUGAUGUUUUUUGGAGUGGUGGUCACUGUCUGUUCUAUGAUAUUUUUUGCGAUCACAAAUGCUCAGGUCAAUAAGAAUGGCAGAAGUGACUUUCCAGGAUCCCCACCAGACUCCAAGCCUCCAAAAAAGGAAGACUGAGAUCAAAUAUGCAGAUCAGCAAAAAGAGGACCUGCCUCUUCUCUGCCUCCAUAACCUGAUUCCUUUCUUUCCAGACAAGCUGAGGGCAAGGUCUCCUCCAGCUCACAGGCUGCACUGCACCUUUGAAUUCAGCCCAAUGAAUCACACUGUUGUUCUGCUAAAGGGAGAGGGAUCUUACAUUAAUUUUAGCACCAAGGUCCUCCUUAACGAGUGUGUUCCUGUAUAGUUAUGGGGGGACAUCUUUGUGCAGGCUUUGUGCAAACAUGUGUCUCUAAUUCUCUGCCUUGGGCUUGUGGGUGAGGGGGAAAAUAUCUAGGCACCCAUCUUCUUCUUUCAAUCAUUCAUUAAUAAAUAUGGAUUAAGUAU